UACGUAGGUGGCAAGCGUUGUCCGGAUUUACUGGGCGUAAAGCGUGCGCAGGCGGUGAUGUAAGACAGAUGUGAAAUCCCCGGGCUCAACCUGGGAACUGCAUUUGUGACUGCAUCGCUGGAGUGCGGCAGAGGGGGAUGGAAUUCCGCGUGUAGCAGUGAAAUGCGUAGAUAUGCGGAGGAACACCGAUGGCGAAGGCAAUCCCCUGGGCCUGCACUGACGCUCAUGCACGAAAGCGUGGGGAGCAAACAGG
rnacentral:rRNA from 1 species